rnacentral:rRNA from 1 species
AUGAACGCUAGCUACAGGCUUAACACAUGCAAGUCGAGGGGCAGCAUGGUCUUAGCUUGCUAAGGCCGAUGGCGACCGGCGCACGGGUGAGUAACACGUAUCCAACCUGCCGUCUACUCUUGGACAGCCUUCUGAAAGGAAGAUUAAUACAAGAUGGCAUCAUGAGUCCGCAUGUUCACAUGAUUAAAGGUAUUCCGGUAGACGAUGGGGAUGCGUUCCAUUAGAUAGUAGGCGGGGUAACGGCCCACCUAGUCUUCGAUGGAUAGGGGUUCUGAGAGGAAGGUCCCCCACAUUGGAACUGAGACACGGUCCAAACUCCUACGGGAGGCAGCAGUGAGGAAUAUUGGUCAAUGGGCGAGAGCCUGAACCAGCCAAGUAGCGUGAAGGAUGACUGCCCUAUGGGUUGUAAACUUCUUUUAUAAAGGAAUAAAGUCGGGUAUGCAUACCCGUUUGCAUGUACUUUAUGAAUAAGGAUCGGCUAACUCCGUGCCAGCAGCCGCGGUAAUACGGAGGAUCCGAGCGUUAUCCGGAUUUAUUGGGUUUAAAGGGAGCGUAGAUGGAUGUUUAAGUCAGUUGUGAAAGUUUGCGGCUCAACCGUAAAAUUGCAGUUGAUACUGGAUAUCUUGAGUGCAGUUGAGGCAGGCGGAAUUCGUGGUGUAGCGGUGAAAUGCUUAGAUAUCACGAAGAACUCCGAUUGCGAAGGCAGCCUGCUAAGCUGCAACUGACAUUGAGGCUCGAAAGUGUGGGUAUCAAACAGGAUUAGAUACCCUGGUAGUCCACACGGUAAACGAUGAAUACUCGCUGUUUGCGAUAUACAGCAAGCGGCCAAGCGAAAGCGUUAAGUAUUCCACCUGGGGAGUACGCCGGCAACGGUGAAACUCAAAGGAAUUGACGGGGGCCCGCACAAGCAGUGGAGUAUGUGGUUUAAUUCGAAGCAACGCGAAGAACCUUACCAGGUCUUGACAUCGAGUGACGUACCUAGAGAUAGGUAUUUUCUUCGGAACACAAAGACAGGUGGUGCAUGGUUGUCGUCAGCUCGUGCCGUGAGGUGUCGGCUUAAGUGCCAUAACGAGCGCAACCCUUGUUGUCAGUUACUAACAGGAUUUGCUGAGGACUCUGACAAGACUGCCAUCGUAAGAUGUGAGGAAGGUGGGGAUGACGUCAAAUCAGCACGGCCCUUACGUCCGGGGCUACACACGUGUUACAAUGGGGGGUACAGAGGGCCGCUACCACGCGAGUGGAUGCCAAUCCCCAAAACCUCUCUCAGUUCGGACUGGAGUCUGCAACCCGACUCCACGAAGCUGGAUUCGCUAGUAAUCGCGCAUCAGCCACGGCGCGGUGAAUACGUUCCCGGGCCUUGUACACACCGCCCGUCAAGCCAUGGGAGCCGGGGGUACCUGAAGUGCGUAACCGCGAGGAGCGCCCUAGGGUAAAACUGGUGACUGGGGCU